GCCGUAGGAGACUUUGUUUUAUUUAUUCCUCAGAUCCAGAGGCGGAAAGAAAGGGAGAGAAGCAGGAAAAUGCGACAGAAGCGUUUUACCCGGGCAGCUAGCAAAGAAAGAGGCUGUAGUCGGUGGGACUGGAAGCAAAGCGCGUAAGGACCCGGUGCGGGGGCAGCGAUCCCCGAGCGCUGAGCGGGCUGCGCGGAGGCCUGGGGGUAGCGCUGGGGAUGAACAGAGAGAAAGAAGGAAAGAAAAUUAAUUGGUGUGGGGAUAUCUGCGGAGGACUUACCUUUUUCCUGGACCUCACAGCUCGUUUUCGCCUCCUCUGGGCUCAUUUUAAGGUCUAAUCAUUGCUUUUUAAAUUGAAAUUCUAAUGGCAAGGGAAGGGAAAGAUGCACAGAAAACAAUGAUGGGGAAUUCUGGGUCAAUCUGAUGCUCCAAAAGCCUCUAA